GGCACCCUGAGAACCAGGAAGUUGCUGUAAGAUGAAAUGCGACAGGGAUUCCCUGGAGGGCCCUACAGGAGGCUGGAAGGAGGGGAUUGGUUUUUUACCCACCACAUCUGAAACUGAGAAUCUCAGGCAGCAAAGGAACGGCGUUUGCUUAAAAACAGGGCUCAUACUUGUUUAAAGCAAAGGGAAAAAAGGAAAUAAGGUGUAUUUAUUUAAUUUGGAUUAGGUGGGCACCUUUGAAGCAAUUCUUACUAAUCUCCUCAGUUCCUGUGCAUGGACUUGCUUGCAGAAUGUUCCUUCUGCGCAAAGCACACCUCUGGUUUGAGCCAGAGAGUCCUCUGAAGGAUGCACCCUGAGAUGCCAAAACAUGCUCCGCUCACCGAGGAGUCUUUGUCUACAGAUCUAAUGCAGAGUAAACCCCAAACAUGCAGGAUAUAGACCUCAGCACCACCUGUUUUGUUCUGCAGAUCUCCGAUUGCAAUACGGUACUUGUCAAUGGAGACAUAGGCAGCUCUGCCUCGUGCUGUCUCACGGGCAGGGAUUACUUCCAGCUCCCUGUUUGCAGAGGCCAAGCAGCUCAGUGGAAGCUCGAAGGCACAGCUGCUGUGCAAACACAGACAUUACAGACCCGAUGCAUUUGUUUGUCUUUGGAAUUCAAACAAUAGCGACAUUUUGAGAGAACAACAGGUUUUGAAUUUCUUUAGGGCAAUAUCUAGUAAAGCACGCGCAUUUCAAAGGAUUUGCUAACAGCUGGAGACGUUUCAAACUGCACCCUUUUCCUUCCGUUAAGGCAGGACUGGCCUGUAGCCCCUGCGGUAUUGCAGAGAUUUGAGAUCACCCUGGAGAAGAUAUCUGCUUGCUUUGCAGAUUUGUUCUAAUUUCAGAGUGAAGUGCAGCAGGUGAUCUGCUCUCCAGCUCUGCCCCUUGUCUUUUUUGCUUGCUUUUUAGUGUGUAUUUGAUGGUUGAAGGAUGUGUUAUCCUUCGAGGCGGCGCAUGUAAAAAUAAUAAGCUCCAGUAGAAUCAAGCAUGCAGCAUAUGCAAUGCCCCCACUCAGACUCUCAGCUGCACAGACUCUCACUCAUGCAGAAAUGUUGGCUGAAGGAUGCUCUCAAGACAGCUUCUUACCCAGACCGCCGUGCUAGCCGAACCUGUGCUCUGUUUUCAGCGCCUUCCUGGGGGAGCCUGGCAGCCUCUUCUGGGAGGAUGAGUGGCAGUGCCCUGACAGUAAUUCUUAAUUAUUUUCCAACUUUGACAAUUAAUAACUAAUAAGUCCUGUCUCAUCAAAUGGGAUUUCAACUGUGUGGUCUAAGCUCAAUUUACUGCACUUUUGUGAAAGCAAUUUUUUCCUUUUCCCUUCCCUGAAGGCACCCUCUUCCUUGAAUUCUGGGAGGUGAAGAUUAAGCUGACAGAUGGUAUCAGCAGAAGAAUGAUUAUGAGCUUUAAAAACCUUGAUAUUUUGGCUUACUACACCAUUUUUCAUGCAAAUACUGACAUGGAUAUUAGCAUCCAAUUAAGAAAGUAUAAAACUAUGCCAUUCUGUUACACUUUACACUGCAAUCAUAUAAUGUUUCAUUAAAAAUAUUGAGAAAGGCUGCUC
rnacentral:lncRNA from 7 species